GAAACUGAGACUCAGAGAGGAGAGCUAACUUGUCCAUACUUACAUACCUGUUGAGAUUCAAACACCAGUGUGCCUGACUCCAAGUUGUUCCACGACUUUGGCAUACCUCGAACAUAUCGUGGGUUCGGUUGCAGACCACAGCCAUAAAGCAAAUAUCACAAUAAAAAGUCAAGACGGAAAUAAUCCUGGACUGAAAUCCCGGAUUCCUUCUAACUUGUUGCUGUGCCAUCCUCAACAUAUGGCUCUGCCAUCCUCAACAUUCUAACUGGUCCAAGAUGGCUGCUCCAUUAAGCAAGAAGGAUGAAGAUCAGGCAAAGGGUGUGGCGUUUGCAUUUAAGAACACUUCUAAGAAGUUGCAAACCCUACUUCUGCUUACAUCUCAUGAACCAGCACUUAGUUACCUGGCAAUACCUGGUUGUAAUGGAGCCUCGACAUUGCAAGAUUUCAUUUUCAGCAUUCACAUGCCCAGCUAAAAAUCAAGCAUUCUGGAUGGGUACAGUGACUCAUGCCUGUAAUCACAACACUUUGGGAG